rnacentral:rRNA from 1 species
UACAGAGGUCCCAAGCGUUGUUCGGAUUCACUGGGCGUAAAGGGUGCGUAGGUGGUGGGGUAAGUCGGAUGUGAAGUCUCCGAGCUCAACUCGGAAACUGCAUUGGAAACUACCCUGCUAGAGGGUCGGAGGGGGGACUGGAAUACUUGGUGUAGCAGUGAAAUGCGUAGAUAUCAAGUGGAACACCAGUGGCGAAGGCGAGUCCCUGGACGACUCCUGACACUGAGGCACGAAAGCUAGGGGAGCAAACAGG